AGCCCUGAGGUGUACUAACAUAUAAGAUUGCAAAUCUUGAGAAGCAAAUGAAAGUUUGCCGGGGCUU
rnacentral:tRNA from 1 species